GACGUUACUUUGGAUAUGGUUUCAAGUUUAUGCUGGUGUGGGACCUUUCAGGCUAGGAUUUUCCCUACCUUGGUUGAACUUGGGAAUUCUAGAAAAGAACAUAAACUCACACUCUAAUAAUGAGAUAAUUUCUUUUGCUAUUUUAGUAUUUGCUUCCUAAGAAUUUCUGGUUUCCCAAAUUUAUUUAUUUAUUUAUUUUUGCAAAAUUUUUGUUUGAAUUCUUGGAUAGCAUGCGAAUAGCGAUGCUUGUGUGGGCUUUAGUUAAGGGGUUGUGAUUUUGCAGGCUACCUGUUUGAUAAAAUGGUUAAAAAAAAUUGAAGUUUGUUUAAAUUGAAUGCUAAACUGCGGAUGCAUGAGUUAAGAUUCAAAAGAGCACUAGAAAUAUUUGAUGAAAUGGCUUUCUUGAAAAUGUGAUCAUAUCUAAUAGAGCUAGUUCAAAGGAACUGUAGUUGUAGUUUGUGAACUUCUUUGUGGCUUGGAACUUCCAACCAAGCACCUUUUGGUUGUGGUUUUAUAGCUUGAAGAUUCUCCAUAAACUCUCUUUAUAGUUCCUUUGUAUGAGAUAAUAGAAUGAAGCUAGUGGAUAACUGAUAUUCUUUUACUAACUUGUUCCAUAUGGUCUAAUGCCAUGGAAAGCCCAGACUAUAUGGUUUUUAUGGUUUUCGACCUACCAUAGUGGUCUUUGAGGCAGGCUUUUUUGCAAUGGAAAGUGAAGAAGAAGUGAAGAAGGCUGAGACUAUGGAGGAUCAGGCAAGGAACAUUAGUCAUAAGGUUCCGUGCACCAAAUGUGGGAGCCAGUCCCAUGCAGACACAGGCAGAUAUUGCUAUUCUUCUCAGAAAGUUGAUACAGGAUGAGAUCGGAACUGGUAAAACUGAUAAGGAGAUCUAUAAAAAGCUAGAGGAGGACUUUGGGGAGACAGGACUGUAUGCCCCAAAAUUUGCUCUGCAAACUGCUGCAUUGUGAUUAUCACCCAUCAGUUCUUCCGAGAAACUGCAUCCCUAAUUUAAACUUCUGCUUCUAGUAGUCAUUCCACUUGAAAAGAUACAACUUUUUAGUGAUGUAUGGCUGAAACAUACUAAGUGGUUCUAAUAGUUUAUCAGAGGCAUGUUAACAGCGUGGCAAUAUAUUAGGUUUAUGUGCUUUCACCAGCCUCAUGCAUUACCGUACCAUCGAGACUUUGGACAGUGCUCGAUGUUCAUGGUUAUGAUUUUUACUCUUGUUCUCUAUAAUUUCAUGUCAGUUCAGCAGUGUUGUAAGAUUAGAGCAUGUCUACAAACAUGCAGAUGUUUUGCUGUCAUGAAUUUUUAACUAACACUAUAGGCUGCGUUUACCAUCUGCAAAAUCUGUGGACGCCAGCUGAUUGAGAACUGAGAAUAAGAAGACACUAAUCUACGUUUCAAAUUGGAAAUUUUGUCUGAUGCAUAUCUAUGAUUGUUGAUGUUAGAUUCUCCCCUGAAAGAAAAAUAAUGAUGAUAGAAGUUCGAAGUUACAUGUUAUGCAGGCUUUGGUGGCAUUCAAUACCAGGAGAGUUGUUGAUAUUUAAUUGGUCUCCAGACUUGCAUCAUAUAUUUUUUGAUCAAAGAGGGGUCAAAAAAAAAGAAAUACGCUGACACCCCUUGUGUGGAUGAAUCAUGGACAGCUCCUUGGUGCCGGGGCAGCAGCCGGCGGAUGGGCUUAGCAGAGGCACGGCGCUGAACCUUGUGAGAGGCGUUUCCCCCAGGAGAAGCAAAAGAAGCUCAACCUUCUUACAGAAGGUGGUGGGGUUGACGAAACACAGCUGGAUUUGUAUAUUUAUUUUAAAAUUCAGACAGCCUAGAUUUCAAUUGAUUGUUUUGCUUUCUAAGCGUAGUAUCUACCAGCUACUAUUUCCUACUGCGAUUUUGGGUGACACCCAAAAAGAGUCAACCGAUGGCAUAUGGAUUCUAAUACCCCGAACAAGGUAAUGGGGAAUGAAUGGAGAGAAAGAGAAGCUUUUCUUAGAGAAUUAGCUCUUGAAAGUCAGCAGUCAAAGUAAACUAAUGUUGUUGUGUUGUGAAGUGAAUCAAGUGAUGAUCUUUUCCCAGCAUUUAAAGUCAAAGAUGCCAACCAGCUCCAAUGUAUUGCGGCGGGACGCGGCUAGAUUGGUCAAACUUGAAUGCGAAGGCUUGCAGAAUCUCAGACGUAUCCAUCCAAUCUGCAGUUCCGUCAAAGCUCCAAGCUCGUUGAUCGAAUCACCCAACUUGCCGACAUGCUCGCAAGCCUGCAUUUCGUAGAAAACUACAACCAGCUCAUACGCCCUCCAAGUCCAACGCAAUCCACAACUACGACUCUUGGAGGGAAUGGUGGUUGACUUCGAAGUAUAUAAAUCAUACACAAUGAGCUGAUUGAGGUCAGUGAAAGAAACCAUCUUGCGAGCUGCAAUGGGUAGACCUCAGCCUAGUAAUGCCCAGCCUACAGCCAUGGAGCCUGGCUAUGGCGGCGAGGCUCGGCAUGCUAUGGGCUCUCCGGUGCCCUUCCCUCCAACUCCGAUGCCAAACAAUGAUGCUCCGCAGCACCCGCCGAUGGCCAUGGGUAACACUCCAGCACCAUAUCCUCCACCAGCUACCAUGCCACAGCAUCCUCCAGUUGCCACCGGUACCCCGGUGUCAUUCCCUCCGGCAGGGCGAUGGCCUGCCGCCGCACCCCAACAGAUGAAUGGUGGUGGCUCCCCGUAUCCUUUGAAGGUCGGGAAACCAUGGACGUCGGGUCUUUUCGACUGCGACCAGAAUUCAACUAAUGCUGUGCUGACCGCCUUCUUCCCUUGUGUCACGUUCGGGCAGAUUGCUGAGAUUUUGGACGAGGGGCAAACCAGUUGCACUCUGGGCAGUUUCAUGCAUGGUUUGCUGUUACCAGUUCUCGCCUGCUCCAUCUUGGGCACCAGUUACAGGCAAAAGCUAAGACUCAAAUACAACCUGGUCCAGGCUCCAGCAGAGGAUUGGAGCGUCCAUCUCUUUUGCCCAUGCUGUGCCCUUUGCCAGGAAUACAGGGAGCUCCAAAACAGAGGAAUUGACCCUUCAAUAGGUGAUCAUAACCUUUUUCUUGUGUGAACCAUGCAUUCACUGGUGAUGGCCCAGAAAUCUUAAUGAUCAUAUUAUCUAAGGUUGGAUGGGUUACCUUGCUCAGCAACAAGAAGCAAGCAUGGUCCCUCCCGCGGUGCACUCCAUGAAUCAGUGAAUCCCAAGAAACAUAUUCACGAGUUGUUUUUUUAACUUUUCUUGUAAUGUGGUUUUUUUUUCCCUUUUCUCAACUUUUAUUCUACUCUGCAAGUACUUGUCCAUCAGUUGCAUUGAGUUGAUUUUGUAUGUACAUUCAAAUUCUGUGAUAGAAACGACUUUAAUUGGUCAUUUUCUGUUUAGUAUUUUAGUUCU